GACGAACGCUGGCGGCGUGCUUAACACAUGCAAGUCGAACGAAGUGGCGAACGGGUGAGUAACGCGUAAACAACCUGCUCAUCAGAGGGGGACAACAGUUGGAAACGACUGCUAAUACCGCAUACGGAAGGAGGAGAUGGCGUCUGAUUAGCUAGUUGGAGGGGUAACGGCCCACCAAGGCGAUGAUCAGUAGCCGGUCUGGGAGGAUGAACGGCCACAGUGGGACCGAGACACGGCCCAGACUCCUACGGGAGGCAGCAGUGGGGAAUCUUCCGCAAUGGACGAAAGUCUGACGGAGCAACGCCGCGUGAGUGAUGACGGCCUUCGGGUUGUAAAGCUCUGUUAAUCGGGACGCGGUACCGGAAUAGAAAGCCACGGCUAACUACGUGCCAGCAGCCGCGGUAAUUC
rnacentral:rRNA from 1 species